rnacentral:rRNA from 1 species
CAGCAGCCACGGUAAUACAGAGGGUGCGAGCGUUAAUCGGAUUUACUGGGCGUAAAGCGUGCGUAGGCGGCUAAUUGAGUCGGAUGUGAAAUCCCCGAGCUUAACUUGGGAAUUGCAUUCGAUACUGGUUAGCUAGAGUGUGGGAGAGGAUGGUAGAAUUCCAGGUGUAGCGGUGAAAUGCGUAGAGAUCUGGAGGAAUACCGAUGGCGAAGGCAGCCAUCUGGCCUAACACUGACGCUGAGGUACUAAAGCAUGGGGAGCAAACAGGAUUAGAUACCCGAGUAGUCCCUGUCUCUUAUAC